rnacentral:rRNA from 1 species
AGAGUUUGAUCCUGGCUCAGGACGAACGCUGGCGGCACGCCUAACACAUGCAAGUCGAACGGAGUGAAGAUGCUCGCAUCUGAACUUAGUGGCGGACGGGUGAGUAACACGUGAGCAACCUGCCUUUCAGAGGGGGAUAACGUUUGGAAACGAACGCUAAUACCGCAUAAAAUAUCGGAGUCGCAUGGCACUGAUAUCAAAGGAGCAAUCCGCUGAAAGAUGGGCUCGCGUCCGAUUAGGCAGUUGGCGGGGUAACGGCCCACCAAACCGACAAUCGGUAGCCGGACUGAGAGGUUGAACGGCCACAUUGGGACUGAGACACGGCCCAGACUCCUACGGGAGGCAGCAGUGGGGGAUAUUGCACAAUGGGGGAAACCCUGAUGCAGCGAUGCCGCGUGAAUGAAGACGGCCUUCGGGUUGUAAAGUUCUGUCGCAGGGGACGAAAAUGACGGUACCCUGCAAGAAAGCUCCGGCUAACUACGUG